rnacentral:lncRNA from 1 species
UUCAUACCUAUAAUCCCAUUACAAACCUAAAAGGCCAUUACAGACCUAACAUUCAUAGCUAAAUCUUUCUACUCAUCACAAAAAUUACAAACAAACACCAUGAAAGGAUCAAAGCAAACCCCAAUUUCAAUUGUCUCUGUCUACUCCAUUCCAAUUCCUUUUUUCCUUCAAUAACAACACACAUUUUCUCUUCCAAUUUUUUCUUCUCUACUUCCACUAAUCUCAGUUGCUCAUCUCUUGCUCUAAUUUCUUCCUCCAUACCUCUGAGUCUUCUAAGCAAUCCAGGAAGCACUUCCUUUCCUCUUGGACAUGUUUCAUUAUCCAGCCAUUCAAAAAAAUGAUGUCUUGUUUGGCUAUUCUGCACAUCAUUUGUUACACACAAUUAAUCAG